UUUGAUUAGAAAACUAGGUUAGAACUUAAUCUAAUGAUUAGAAUUGAUUCAACUAAUCUAAGGAAUCAUGUUAAUAUGUCGUUCAAACUUGAUUAAAAUACUAUGUCAAGUUCUAGCCUAAGGGAACAUGCAUGGGUUAAAAAAACUGAGGUGCUAAUGUUCUAGCCAUAGCCCUAAGUUAUAGCACUUACCAUCAACCUUCGCGUUUGACUACGGGGGAUAAUGUUCAACCUUGCUUGGUGCUCUACAGUAUCUCCUUCAACGUCGUUGCGGACUCGAAGAGUUAUCAUAUUCCGUUAUUUGUCUUGUUCCGAAGUUCAACUCGCCUUGUAAUCAUGUGCGCCAAUUAGAAAGAAACGGUGUCGAAAAUGAAACUGUAGAAUGUACCAGACCGCGCAAGUAUCACCGUUAGAGUUUCGAUUGAUUCUCCUUCCUCUCUGGUUCGCUUACAAUUUGAUGAGAAAUGUUUCGUUAUUGAAGACGAUUGUUUCAGAUUCGUUGCGUGUGAAAUGCUUCUGUUCCAAAUCCAAUUUCUGCAGAAUCGUGGAAGGUCCUAGAAGAUGGUUUCUUGAAGUUUCUGUUAAGGAAGAUUGAGAGGGAUGAGGCUUUUGACGGUGAAUAAAGUUAGUGAAGAAGAUUGGUUACCAUCUCCAUGUGAUUAUCAGAGGAGGGUUAUAUGAAAAAUUCCCAGUUGGAAGCCAUGGAGAGGAGAGUUAGAAGAGGGUUCAUGAAGAAGAAGUGAAGAGUUUCGAAAAUCCUCUCUGCAGAAUGAAGGUUGAUUUAUUAUAUAGAGCAUGGGAAUCGUAACCGACUCGGGCAGUGCGGGCAAUUCCGUUAGGGCAGGUAACAUAGUUAGUUUAAAUUCACAUUGAAAUGAAAUUGAGAUAUAAUAGUUAGUUAGGUUCAAACUGCUAGUUAAAUUUUGUUAAAUUAUGUUGAAAGACUCUUGUUGAAAUCCCUCUUCAAGUUGUUAUAUGUUAAGUUCUGUUUAAAAAUUCAAUUUGAGUUGGUUGAAUUUGAAAUGAAUUAUCUCAAUAGGAAGUGAAUGAAACUCGAGUGGCAGUGUUAGUUAAGAUAUUAGUUAGUUUCCGAUUAGGUGAUGUGAUGCGAUUUUGAGCUUAACUUCUGUUAAAUGCAAUGUUAUGACGUUUAAUAAUUAAUUCUGUUAGAACUUUUAAUGCAGGGUGGAUACUGGUACUGUUAUCAAAUCUGGAAGUAUUUUGUUAUUUAUUCAGUUUUCUAUUAGUAGUUUGUUAGGAGUUGUUACAGGUUUUGAUUUAGUCACAUGAGAUUCAAUGGAAUUGAAAAGUUAAGUGUAAAUCAAAUUGAAUGCCUAUGGUUAAUUGGUUAAUAUGGAGAAAAAGCUAGAGAUGAUUGUUUGAUUAGCUUGGUUGGUUUGAUGUGAGGUUAAUUGAUGCAUUGCUAUUGGAGUGGUUCUUUUUGCAGGGACAAUGGUAACUUGAUACGUUUCAGGGCAGUUUGUACUGUUGUCAUGCUCAUCUGGACCGACUCAAUGCAGAGAGGGCUUCAUGGUUUUAAUGCUGCUGUGUAAGCUUAGUGCUUGCAUAAGUCAUGUUCAUGUGUGGGAUCUGUUUUGCAUUGGCUGCAAUGGUUUAGAUUCACAGUCAUGUAAAUGUGCUAAGGCUAUGUUGUGAGGUUUGUUAUAGGUGAUGUAAAUUAUUUGGAUAGCCAUGCCAGGUUAUGUCAUGUUGGAAAAUGAACAUGUAGUGUGGUGUAAUGGUUGAAUUGUAUUUGUUUUAAUGGGAAUGUAUAGAAGUGAAAUAGAGUUUGAAAGUGAGAAUGGUGAGUAUUGUUUGGAUUGAACUUUAUAUGACUUAUGUGGUUGAAAAUGUUUAUGUAAUGCAUUGUAACAUUGGAAAUUGGUUUAUGUAUAAACAUGGCUUAUGUAUUUCUUUGGUUGGUAGCUUAUUUGCUUGUUUGAAUGAAUUUACUAGGUGUUGAUGUUAAGGCAAGGUUUGGCAAGCGAGCAUGAUUUUAAGGCAUAACAAACAAGGCUUGGUGCGAAAUGCGGUUUCCUUGUGUAUGAAAAACUUGGUCGUGGAGGUCAAGUGAAAAGAUUGGAAGUGACAUGGACUUGAUUGGUAGAAAUGAUUAAUUGGAAUUUUGUGUUGUAAUGUGAUGGAUUGUAAAUGAAAUAUUUGAACUUGGUUCAUGUAGUUAUACUCGAAUGAAUAAGAAGUGCAAUUUUGUUGUAAUUGAAUGUAAUUUUGGAAUUUGAAUGGAUCAUGAAUUUGAAUGUGUAAGUGAAA